ACACCCCAAUAAUCCCCCUUCAAAGAGCGAGCCGCAUGGGAAGGGGAGAUUCCAGUGCGUCCAGAGGUCUGGGCAAAAAUAAAAAACAACACAAGGGACUCCAUGUUCGUGAAGGAGUUGGCUGUGGCGUUUUGGGGCAUCGAAACCUUAGGGGAAAGGAGCCUGACUGGAAAGGAAUAUAUGGAAGCGAUCGUAUACUUAGUUCGUGUACUUGGUUCUUGGUAUGUGGCUUUUUAUCACAGCAAGGAGGCAAACUUUGUUUCAGAAAAGGCUGAGUAUAGCAAGACGAAAUACAGAAGAAAAAAACAGGAGAGUUUUGGCAAUCCUACAAUGCAGCACAGACGACUCUGAUCACUACAAAACGACAAUGCUACUUGAAGUUGUACCAUUUGCAAAGUCGCCGCCGCAGACCAUGUGUUUGGACGUUCGCUCGAGUGGUGGGGUGUGAUUAUUCCAUCUUUCACACACACUCAGUUGGUGCAGAACUUCAGGACGUCUGAGGAAACCUACGUCUACCUGUGCAACAAACUGCGGCCAGCGAUGGAGAGACAGGACACACCACAAGCUGCAGAGGAGGAGGGCACGGACAUACGAGAGGGUCUGAUGCGCUACUUGAAUAGCUGAAUAUUCA